rnacentral:rRNA from 1 species
UACGGAGGGGGCUAGCGUUGUUCGGAAUUACUGGGCGUAAAGCGCACGUAGGCGGCUUUGUAAGUUAGAGGUGAAAGCCCGGGGCUCAACUCCGGAACUGCCUUUAAGACUGCAUCGCUAGAAUUGUGGAGAGGUAAGUGGAUUUCCGAGUGUAGAGGUGAAAUUCGUAGAUAUUCGGAAGAACACCAGUGGCGAAGGCGACUUACUGGACACAUAUUGACGCUGAGGUGCGAAAGCGUGGGGAGCAAACAGG